CUAACACACGCAAGUCGAGCGGAAACGACACUAACAAUCCUUCGGGUGCGUUAAUGGGCGUCGAGCGGCGGACGGGUGAGUAAUGCCUAGGAAAUUGCCUUGAUGUGGGGGAUAACCAUUGGAAACGAUGGCUAAUACCGCAUGAUGCCUACGGGCCAAAGAGGGGGACCUUCGGGCCUCUCGCGUCAAGAUAUGCCUAGGUGGGAUUAGCUAGUUGGUGAGGUAAUGGCUCACCAAGGCGACGAUCCCUAGCUGGUCUGAGAGGAUGAUCAGCCACACUGGAACUGAGACACGGUCCAGACUCCUACGGGAGGCAGCAGUGGGGAAUAUUGCACAAUGGGCGAAAGCCUGAUGCAGCCAUGCCGCGUGUAUGAAGAAGGCCUUCGGGUUGUAAAGUACUUUCAGUUGUGAGGAAGGGUGUGUAGUUAAUAGCUGCGCAUCUUGACGUUAGCAACAGAAGAAGCACCGGCUAACUCCGUGCCAGCAGCCGCGGUAAUACGGAGGGUGCGAGCGUUAAUCGGAAUUACUGGGCGUAAAGCGCAUGCAGGUGGUUCAUUAAGUCAGAUGUGAAAGCCCGGGGCUCAACCUCGGAACUGCAUUUGAAACUGGUGAACUAGAGUACUGUAGAGGGGGGUAGAAUUUCAGGUGUAGCGGUGAAAUGCGUAGAGAUCUGAAGGAAUACCAGUGGCGAAGGCGGCCCCUGGACAGAUACUGACACUCAAUGCGAAAGCCUGGGGAGCAAACAGGAU
rnacentral:rRNA from 1 species